AGUGAACGCUGGCGGCGUGCCUAAUACAUGCAAGUCGAACGCGAAAGUCCUUCGGGAUGAGUAAAGUGGCGCACGGGUGAGUAAUGCAUGGGAACGUGCCCUUAAGUGGGGAAUAACGUUUGGAAACGAACGCUAAUACCGCAUAGACUCGAGAGAGUAAAGGUGGCGCCGUAAGGGCUACCGCUUAAGGAUCGGCCCAUGUCCCAUUAGCUAGUUGGCGGGGUAAUAGCCCACCAAGGCGACGAUGGGUAACUGGUCUGAGAGGACGAUCAGUCACACUGGAACUGAGACACGGUCCAGACUCCUACGGGAGGCAGCAGUAGGGAAUAUUGCACAAUGGGGGAAACCCUGAUGCAGCAACGCCGCGUGAGUGAAGAAGGCCCUUGGGUUGUAAAGCUCUUUAGCGAGGGAAGAGGGUUGAUACGGUGAACAAUCGUAUUGGCUGACGGUACCUCGAGAAUAAGCACCUGCUAAU
rnacentral:rRNA from 1 species